UUACUUUCUACUGGUCGCUCGAGAGUCAUGAUCAACGGUGAGUUAGGGCCUCCCAUACUUGCCAAAAGGGGCUUCCGGCAGGGCGAUUCUUUGUCCCCAUACCUCUUCAUUCUGAUAGCAGACGUGCUGCAAAGACUUUGUUGCUUACAUUUCCAGGAGGGGUCCCUGCAGCACCCGUUGGGCUCUGGCAGUUUCUUUCCAGUGCUGCAGUAUGCGGACGAUACACUGAUCAUUUUCAAGGGGAAUUUUGAGCAGGCCACAGUGAUCAAGAACAUUCUCACAGCUUUCUCGGCUUUCUCAGGUCCGACCAUCAAUUUUCAUAAGAGCACGCUAGUGCCAAUUUUAUGGAUGCAAUUGUGGCUGUUGAGAUCGCCGGGCUUUUUGGCUGCCCCCUGUCCUCCUUUCCUUGCACAUACCUCGGGCUGCCUCUGUCUCUGA
rnacentral:rRNA from 1 species